rnacentral:snoRNA from 1 species
CACUUGAUUUUGUUUUUGUUUAUCUUUUAGACAAGGACACAAAGACAAAAGUGAAAAAAAAAUCCUCUUUUGCAACCCAGAACUCAUUGUUUAGUAUGAGUUUUGAUACAUAUAUGAAGGAAUAUU